ensembl:piRNA 21ur-3823 ncRNA
UGUUCAGUUUAUCGUACAAAU